rnacentral:rRNA from 1 species
UACGUAGGGUGCGAGCGUUAAUCGGAAUUACUGGGCGUAAAGCGUGCGCAGGCGGUUCGUUGUGUCGGCGGUGAAAGCCCCGGGCUUAACCUGGGAAUGGCCGUUGAAACUGGCGAACUGGAGUGUGGCAGAGGGGGGUGGAAUUCCGCGUGUAGCAGUGAAAUGCGUAGAGAUGCGGAGGAACACCGAUGGCGAAGGCAGCCUCCUGGGCCAACACUGACGCUCAUGCACGAAAGCGUGGGGAGCAAACAGG